AUUGAACGCUGGCGGCAGGCCUAACACAUGCAAGUCGAACGGUAGCACAGAGAGCUUGCUCUCGGGUGACGAGUGGCGGACGGGUGAGUAAUGUCUGGGAAACUGCCCGGUGGAGGGGGAUAACUACUGGAAACGGUAGCUAAUACCGCACAACGUCGCAAGACCAAAGUGGGGGACCUUCGGGCCUCACACCAGCGGAUGUGCCCAGAUGGGAUUAGCUAGUAGGUGGGGUAAUGGCUCACCUAGGCGACGAUCCCUAGCUGGUCUGAGAGGAUGACCAGCCACACUGGAACUGAGACACGGUCCAGACUCCUACGGGAGGCAGCAGUGGGGAAUAUUGCACAAUGGGCGCAAGCCUGAUGCAGCCAUGCCGCGUGUAUGAAGAAGGCCUUCGGGUUGUAAAGUACUUUCAGCGGGGAGGAAGGCGGUGAAGUUAAUAGCUUCACCGAUUGACGUUACCCGCAGAAGAAGCACCGGCUAACUCCGUGCCAGCCGCCGCGGUAA
rnacentral:rRNA from 1 species